GACGAACGCUGGCGGCGUGCCUAACACAUGCAAGUCGAACGGAACUGUUUUGACAGAUUUCUUCGGAAUGAAUUUGAUUUAGUUUAGUUGCGGACGGGUGAGUAACGCGUGAGUAACCUGCCUUCAAGAGGGGAAUAACAUUCUGAAAAGAAUGCUAAUACCGCAUGACAUAUCGGAACCACAUGGUUUUGAUAUCAAAGAUUUUAUCGCUUGAAGAUGGACUCGCGUCCGAUUAGUUAGUUGGUGAGGUAACGGCUCACCAAGACCGCGAUCGGUAGCCGGACUGAGAGGUUGAGCGGCCACAUUGGGACUGAGACACGGCCCAGACUCCUACGGGAGGCAGCAGUGGGGGAGAUUGCGCAAUGGGGGCAACCCUGACGCAGCAACGCCGCGUGAAGGAUGAAGGUUUUCGGAUUGUAAACUUCUUUUAUUAAGGACGAAAAAUGACGGUACUUAAUGAAUAAGCUCCGGCUAACUACGUG
rnacentral:rRNA from 1 species